UACGUAGGGUGCAAGCGUUACUCGGAAUUACUGGGCGUAAAGCGUGCGUAGGUGGUUCGUUAAGUCUGUCGUGAAAGCCCCGGGCUCAACCUGGGAAUGGCGAUGGAUACUGGCGGGCUAGAGUGCGGUAGAGGAGAGUGGAAUUCCCGGUGUAGCAGUGAAAUGCGUAGAGAUCGGGAGGAACAUCAGUUGCGAAGGCGGCUCUCUGGACCAGCACUGACACUGAGGCACGAAAGCGUGGGGAGCAAACAGG
rnacentral:rRNA from 1 species